GGCGAAUUUAAAGCCCAGCGCCGUGUUAGGGCGCUCUAGCUGUCAGACCAGACACACGCCGUGUGAGGAGUGGUUAUAUCCCUCUCAGCGAUCCAGGAGGCUAGCAUCCUUCCCCUUGGACUUUUCCCAAUCAGCUAUUGUCCACUGUGACGAAUACCAGAUCAACUGGCAGUGAUAAUGCCCUCCCUCAAUCUAGUUCACAACUGUGGAAUAUUUCGAAUUGGUUCUAUUUAAAUAAGCCUCUGUGUCUAAACCAGACAGAUAUUUACCCUUUGAGGGCUUAGUAUUCUGCUAUGGUUCUCUCAAGGUGUCUUCAGGUUCUGUUUGAAGCAUCAGCUAUUCCUGCGUGAUCUAUUGUUGUUUUUUCAUGCUGAUUUUUAUUUUUAUCUUGCAUUGUCUGUCUAAAGCUCCUGAGGAAACUCAAAGAGUGAAACAUGUAGAGCUGACCAAAACAAUGUCUCGUCUUGAUUUCACAAGAUGUAUAUAAUCAAGAAUAAUAUAUUUAUGUCAUAUAAUUGUUUAUAAUAAAUUGUUUUCUAUUUUUAUAAAACUUUGAUUGUGUGAAUCUCUAUCUGCACCAUUUCAAUAGC